rnacentral:lncRNA from 1 species
AAGUCAUGGGAGGGGCCAGGUUCGGGGGAACCUCUGAGCGAUCCAUUUCCCAGACUGCCAGGGAGCUGAUGGGGUGAGCUCUGGGAGUGCCUGUGGGUCCUAGACAGCUUCACAGCUUGUGAGGUGCAGUGGGUGGGGGAAGUGAGGCAGAGGAUGUAUCCGUUAACCCUUUGGAAGCCCUGAUCUUUCUGUCCUGAUCUUGCUGUGCCUCAGAACCACAAUGACAGCCGUGUGACACUGUUUGAGGGGGACAACUUCCAAGGCUGCAAGUUUGACCUCGUUGAUGACUACCCAUCCCUGCCCUCCAUGGGCUGGGCCAGCAAGGAUGUGGGUUCCCUCAAAGUCAGCUCCGGAGCGUGGGUGGCCUACCAGUACCCAGGCUACCGAGGCUACCAGUAUGUGUUGGAGCGGGACCGGCACAGCGGAGAGUUCUGUACUUACGGUGAGCUCGGCACACAGGCCCACACUGGGCAGCUGCAGUCCAUCCGGAGAGUCCAGCACUAGGCUCCACGGCCCCAGACACCUUCCCUGAGGACACUCAAUAAAGGUUCCUGAAUCUUCCUGCC